GUCGGAUAAAAGUCCAGGCAGUGGGGCUAUGGGGAUUCUAUUGACCCCACAGAAAGAGAGACCUUUGAAUUUACGAGUUGUGGGGCUGGGUUUUCUUAUGUGGGUUCCACUCAGGUUUAUUGUGUAGGUACCACUUGAUGCCUAUCUGGGUUGUUUGUGGGCCCACUAAGUUUUGGACAGGGCCACUAGUGAUUCGGUGGGGAAAAAAAAGGCU
rnacentral:misc_RNA from 1 species